AACGAACGCUGGCGGCAUGCCUAACACAUGCAAGUCGAACGAGACCUUCGGGUCUAGUUGCGCACGGGUGCGUAACGCGUGGGAAUCUGCCCUUGGGUUCGGAAUAACAGUUGGAAACGACUGCUAAUACCGGAUGAUGACGUAAGUCCAAAGAUUUAUCGCCCAGGGAUGAGCCCGCGUAGGAUUAGCUUGUGGGUGGGGUAAAGGCCUACCAGGGCGACGAUCCUUAGCUGGUCUGAGAGGAUGCUCAGCCACACUGGGAGUGAGACACGGCCCAGAAUCCUACGGGAGGCAGCAGAGGGGAAUAUUGGACAAUGGGCGAAAGCCUGAUGCAGCAAUGCCGCGUGAGUGAUGAAGGCCUUAGGGUUGUAAAGCUCUUUUACCCGGGAUGAUAAUGACAGUACCGGGAGAAUAAGCCCCGGCUAACUCCGUG
rnacentral:rRNA from 1 species